UUCUGAACAGGAAGUGAUUCUCACUUUUCUAUCUUUUAAGCAAGGCUACAUCAGAAUAAAGACUUGAAAUUAAGCUUCCUUUUGUGUUAAAAGAGAUUUAUUAUAAUAAAGUAAGUGCAAGUAAGUGUUAUUAAAAAUGCUGGUUAAAAU